GGCCGAGUUGUAUUUUGCAGAGGAUGUUUUGGAAUCUGUACCGUCUAAAGUCCUUUGGAACAGGGCGUCAUGGAGGGUGAAAAUCCCGUGUUUUCGGAUACAUUUUCCGUGUAAAACUCCUUCGAAGAGUCGAGUUGUUUGGGAAUGCAGCUCUAAGUGGGAGGUAAAUUUCUUCCAAAGCUAAAUAUCUGCUAGAGACCGAUAGCGCACAAGUAGAGUGAUCGAAAGAUGAAAAGUACUUUGAAAAGAGAGUUAAAAAGCACGUGAAAUUGUUGAAAGGGAAGCUUAUGCAAUCAGACAUGAUUUUUAGGUUCAGCCUUUUGGUGUAUUCCUGAGAAUCAAGUCAACAUCAGUUUAGGUCGUCGGAUAAAAGUUUCGGGAAUGUAACUCUUCGGAGUGUUAUAGCCUGAUUCAAAAUGCGACGUAUUUAGACUGAGGUCCGCUUAUAGGAUGUUGACAU
rnacentral:rRNA from 2 species